rnacentral:tRNA from 1 species
GAAAAAGAAUGCAAGAACUGCUAACUCAUGCAACCGUACAUAACAGUAUGGCUUUUUCA